AUUAGAAUACCUAACUCUUUUAUUUGGAUUCAACUAUUUUUGAAAAAUGUUGGUUCAACAUUUUUGUCCAACAUUUUAAAAAAAAUGUUGGUUCAACAUUUUUAUCUAACAUUUUUUUCAAUUAAAAUGUUCAAUGGGCCAUCAUCCUAAAUACGAUCUGGAUCUUAAUGGGAUUUAUAGUUGAACCCCUUAACCAUAG
rnacentral:lncRNA from 1 species